CAAUCAUAGAAAACUUUUAUUGCUUUGAUACUAAUCUUAAAUAUUUAAAUGUGGGCGUUUUCAUCUCCUGAUUCUUUCCAGUCUUCUGUGAUAAUGAGCCGGUGCAAGGAGAAGAAAUCUCUUGAGAUAAAUAAACUGUACUGGGAAGUGGGCCCCUUGCUAAGUUCCCUCUGGAAGUGACACCUGCCUCUAUUGCAAACAUUUUCUUCUACAUGUGGUUUCAGUUCCAAGCCAAACCCGUUCUGCAGCAUGCUUUUGUACCUUGCUGAGACUGAUCAGUAUCAGCUUGCCAGGACUUUAAACCCCAUUGAUUCUUUCAUUGCUUAAAAGCCUCUUUCUUUUGAAAGUCUUUGAGUGAAUCAUAAAAUUACCAUCUAAAAAGACGUAGCAGUAACUGAACCCAGGAAAGCUGGGGAGUAUUUGACUGACAGCACCAUAACUGACCUUCCCGAGAUGAGCUUGAUGCGGGAAGGAGCUUUGCAGGUGGGAAAAUGCUCUGGGAAGGAAGGUACCAGGCAGGGACAGUAGGGUCCCUGGCCUGAGCCCAAAACUGGUCCUUGUCUCUUGCCGUCCCUCCUUUGCCCCAGGAUUCUCACGGAUGGUGGAUUAGAGAGCAAGGCUCCCCUUUCCUUUAUGUUCCUUCCUUUCUCAGGCUCAAUUCUAAGCCGUCAUCAGCAAGUGUGUAAAAGCAAGUAGGGAAGCCUAUUUCAGUUACUUUCUCUAGAUUUUUGGUCUCUUCCGUUAUGCGUAAAAUAUUUUUGAAAGUAUGUUUUCAAAUUCCAUUUCACCCUCAUUCUAUAAAGUACCAGAUGGUAGGCAUUGUUUUCUAUUAAUGAAAAAAAAAAAAGAUUGGUUUUAGGGAUCACAUUCAAAGUGUUUGAUUAACCAGGGCUCCGCUUAGCAUUCAAGUACACUGCUACACAGCUCCACUUUUGUUUUUGCCCUAGAUUUUUCUCUACCUCUUUGUCUCCUCUAUCUUUCCAGCCCUGUGGAUUUCCUUGAGAGGAGGACUGUGAAAAUUAAAGAAAAGAAAGAUAAGAGAGGAAGCAAAAAAAGUAUCACUUUUCUUGUAAUUUAUCUUUAUCUUGACUUCUCAUUAUGUUUUUUUUUAAAUUAAUAUUUAAUGCCCCUCAGGUAAACCUGAGCAUAUCUCUAUCCUAAAAAAGAGAGAGAGAGAGAGAGGGAGAGAGAGAGAGAGAGAGAGAGAGAGAGAGAGAGAGAGAGAGAGAGAGAGACACUGUCCAGUUGGGGAAGUGGGAAAAAAGGAACCUCACUUCUUGGAGGUCAGGGAUCUGGGAGACUGGAUUUGUAAACAUGGAAGAUGUUUCCAAGGCAAAAAUGGUACAUUUAUGGAGAAUGUCUUCAGUGGAUGUUUUGAAGUCUUAGGAGCCUCAUAGAGUGUGGGGACUGCAAUUCGUGGCAGUUCAGACACACUGAGUGAUGGUCGCAGGACAUACUUGGUCUCCGCAGAGGGUCACCACACAGAGCUGUCCAGAUUGUACUUGCAAAUGUACUUUCAGCACGGUGGUGGGUGGGAGGGGACCUCAGGUUUGCUCUAGUAAUGCCACUGAGGAUCUAGAGAAGAGGAGGAUUCGGGAUGAAUGGUCCACACCACAGCAAACCUGCUGCAUGUCGUGGGAAGGUGACCUCAGAUUGGGCUCCUGGUGACUUUGACUCUUCUCUUCUGGCCUGACGGUGAUAUUGCAUGUUGAAGGGGCUUGUUGACACUGAUCUUUCUUCUGCAGCCCAGCUUCUUGGCAGAGAUGUCCCGGUCUCCCUGUCUAUACGUCUUCACCUGCCCUUCAUUCCUAACCACCCUAUGGUUUGACGUGGCUCCUCAGGUGCAGCGAAAUGUCCCCUCCACUUCCUCCAUUCUCCUGGCCUCUCUGAGGCUCAGCCUCCCAUCCUCGGUGGCCAGGGCUGGGCAGCAGGUACUGCUUUCGCUGUCUUCCUCUCCACAGGUCCCCGGUGAGGAAACACCCUCCCUCUCAGGGCUCUUCUUAUCUUUCUGGCUUCUGGUUUCUCUGUCUCUCUUUCCUUGAGUUCUUUCUAGCUUCAGGUUCAAAUCCCAACACUACCAUUCACUACCAUGAAGGCCAGGGCCAGUGGUGUUCCUUGCUUAAACCUCAGUUUCCUUCCUGUGAAAUGGGAUAGCACAGCACCUGCCUCAUUUGGGGGCUGAGUCGUACUUACAGAGUGACUUACGUGGAGUGUUUUAAGGAGAAAGUGCUUAAUGCUUGCUAAUGUCGCUGUUAUUCCUUUUGUUAUCAGAAUUCUUGGCCAGAGGCCUUAGCAGACCAGGUCUGGCCAUCACCUUGAGAGUCUAAAUAGCAGAAAGAGAAGAUGGUGGUGAAGCAGGAAAGGAAUUGAUUUCAGUUUGGCCAGACCAGAAAGCCAGCUCUUCCCUGUACCAAUACCGGCCUCAGCGUCACCCAGGGGAAGGACAAGAGGGAGCCCAGAGGUGUGCACCUGUACAGCCAGCGCGGCCAGCCCGGAGUCUGCAGCAGCUCUGGCUCUGUGGGAUCCUGCUGGGGUCCUGCUGGGGUCCUGCUGGCACCAGGGGUUGGGGGCCGUCUCCACUCCUAGCGUGAGGUGAUUGCCUGCAGGAAGCUGGGAAGGAGAAAUAGCUCAAAGGAAAGAAGAGAUUAGAGGUACAAAGUGGAGUUGUUCAGGACAAAAGCUGGUUCCUUCUUCAAAUCCUUCCAUUAAAAGGAGCCCUGUCCUCACUCUGCCCACAGCCCAUCCACUCCAAGCAAUGACCUUGAGUCCCUCCUGUGCUNCUCAAUUCUAAGCCGUCAUCAGCAAGUGUGUAAAAGCAAGUAGGGAAGCCUAUUUCAGUUACUUUCUCUAGAUUUUUGGUCUCUUCCGUUAUGCGUAAAAUAUUUUUGAAAGUAUGUUUUCAAAUUCCAUUUCACCCUCAUUCUAUAAAGUACCAGAUGGUAGGCA
rnacentral:lncRNA from 1 species